UAUAUCUAGAAUUAAGUUGUCUAAAACAUGGCUAACUUUGUACAUUACUAUACAGUUCGCUAACUUUGUAUUUUACUGUAUUGUUUUACAUUCUAUUCGAUGUUGCCACCGCAGUUAAUAGGUGGCAAGGUAAAGAAGUUCGCUGGUCAACAAAUUGCGAUUUCCCGGGAAACAACAUUGGAAAUCAAACCAUCGGCGGUGAUCAAUGCGGAACGAUUUGCCAGAGCAUCCUAGCCGAAUGUACACAUUUUACAUUUACUCUUUCCCAGGGUGGUACCUGUUGGUUCAAAUCGGGACCCGUUUCAUCUGUCCAAGCGAUUCCCCUCGAUAGUCCUGGAAGUGUCUGUGGAUUUCUGGCCAUUUCAUGGAUUAACGAGAUCGACUUUUCAUGGUCGCACCAUUGCACCUUUCCUGGUGGGGACUUCAAAAACCAAUCAAGCACAGGCCGCCUCUGCGGGUCAAUGUGCAUGGAUAAUCCGCAGUGUACCCAUUUCGUAUGGACCAAUGUUGAGGGACAGGGUGGCAUUUGCUGGAUGAAAUCUGGUGGAGCCACUAGAGAAAGUGCCAGUCUUACACCAGGCGCGAGAGGAGCCAUUUGCGGCUUUCUUCAUAAUCCCAAUCCAAACGCAAGUGUGCCAAUCGUUACCACAUCUGCCCCAUGGUUUAACACCGAUACAUGUGAGUGUGUUUGUUAGCCCUAAUUGUCGUCUUCACUUCAGAGCAUGAGAUAAAUUAAUCUAACUUUUUUAUGUUACCAUAUACGACCAAAGAAAAUUGAUUAAACAUUAAAACAAAGUAAUUUGCGGUCUUCGCAUUGGCGAUAAUAUUUUAAGGGUAAACUUUUAGGAGCUUACGGAUGAGUGACGGAAUGAAUUGAGUGCAACUCAAUUGUUAAUUAUUCGUCGUCUUUUAUUAGCUUCCUUAUGGGGAAGCUAUAAUUAAUUCAUUUUUAGGAGACAAACGGCAGAAAGAUUGAAAAAGAAGCCUCGGUCUUGUUGAGAACUCUGGCAAGAAGCUCACAACACAUUUUUCAAAUAUAUUAUGUAAAACAUAGUACCUUGAAAAGGGAGAGAAAAUCAAGUCAGGUUACAACAAAACAAUAGAUAGCGCCAACCGGAAACUAUUUACGUUGGCCAUAUCUGAUUGCCCGGUGGAUAGGACGAAUCAACAUAAAUCUGUUAAUAGCCUAUCUUCAAUUGGCUUUGCGACGUAUGCGCAGGAAAUGAAUCCAUCGUUAUGUCUGCAUCAUCUUUUUUUCGCGAAACUAGUGCGCCACUGAUGAUGAAGCUUCCCCCAAACGGCUCCUGCAAGUCCAGUAAGAACUUUUCUGCGAGCGAAAGAUAUGCGGGUGUUGGAGAACAAGCGAGAAAGUCGGUUAAUACAAAUAGAAAUAGUACAUAUACAAAGUGAGAUACACUAUAAAAUAAAAAAUCAGGAAAUUCUCCUGUUCUGUUAUCGCUGAACUUAAGGAUGGUUUUCGCUUUGACCGUGGCUUCCGCCAUUGCUUCCGGGCACGAAAACCAAGCUGGAAAGUUAUCUGAAAAAAGUGGUUAGUAUAACACAUCGAUUUUUAAAGAAUUAAGUUACUUAAAACAUGGAGUGCACUAUCAGUUGGCUUACUUUCUAUUUUAUCAUAUUGUUCUACACUAUAUUCGAUGUUACCACCGCACAAAAUAAUUGGAAGGGGAACGAGGUUCGCUGGUCAAAAAAUUGCGAUUUCCCGGGAAACAACAUUGGAAAUCAAACCAUCGGCGGUGAUCAAUGCGGAACGAUUUGCCAGAGCAUCCUAGCCGAAUGUACACAUUUUACAUUUACUCUUUUCCAGGGUGGUACCUGUUGGUUCAAAUCGGGACCCGUUUCACCUGUCCAAGCGAUUCCCCUCGAUAGUCCUGGAAGUGUCUGUGGAUUUCUGACUAUCUCAUGGGUACACGAGAUCGGUUUGUCUUGGUCACACCAUUGCACCUUUCCUGGGGGGGACUUCGAAAACCAACCGAGCCCAGGCGCCCUAUGCGGGCCGAUGUGCAUGGAUAAUCCACAGUGUACCCACUUCGUUUGGACCAAUGUUGAGGUGACGCGAAAAUGCUUUGAAACACUUAUAGACUAUACGUAUUAGUAUACGUAUAUAUACUGUAUAUAAAGAACAUUCAAGCCCUUAAUAUCUUCUUUCGACGCAUCUCGCACAACG